AGCACAUGCUAGAUCUGGAAAUAGCGAUGCUCCACUCUCCUUUGGAUCAAACUAAAAUUAAGCUGAACAUGGAAUGUCCAGAACUCCGCUUAAGAAAUUAAGCUGAUAUCUUGCAUUUCUAGUGGUUCUCCAGCUAUUUUUGCUUCCAAUAUCUUGCAUUCUUAGCUGUAGAAGAUUAUGGCUUUUGGGAGAGCAAGUUUUAGGAUUUCAUGCUCAUGUUUUUUCUCGCAGAAAUUUUAUUGGGAAGGGAUCUAAAGAAGAGCUUUCCUUCUAGUCAUUACUGAUAGCUUGCAUAUUUUCUCAGUUUCCUGGCUCAAAAGCUUGAAGACAGAAAAUUUCAGGUUGCAGUUUCUGUGUUGUUUAAAGCUUAAAGUGUAGCAGCUCGGGAGAAGAAACCUAACGAAGAC